rnacentral:rRNA from 1 species
AGCGAACGCUGGCGGCAGGCCUAACACAUGCAAGUCGAACGAACCCUUCGGGGUUAGUGGCGGACGGGUGAGUAACACGUGGGAACGUGCCUUUAGGUUCGGAAUAACUCAGGGAAACUUGUGCUAAUACCGAAUGUGCCCUUCGGGGGAAAGAUUUAUCGCCUUUAGAGCGGCCCGCGUCUGAUUAGCUAGUUGGUGAGGUAAUGGCUCACCAAGGCUGCGAUCAGGAGCUGGUCUGAGAGGAUGACCCGCCACAUUGGGACUGAGACACGGCCCAAACUCCUACGGGAGGCAGCAGUGGGGAAUCUUGCGCAAUGGGCGAAAGCCUGACGCAGCCAUGCCGCGUGGAUGAUGAAGGUCUUAGGAUUGUAAAAUCCUUUCACCGGUGAAGAUAAUGGCUGUAGCCGGAGAAGAAGCCCCGGCUAACUUCGUGCCAGCAGCCGCCGUAAUAC